rnacentral:tRNA from 1 species
GGCUGGUUAGCUCAGUCAGUUGAGCGUAGCACUAACAACGCUAAGGUUGCGGGUUCAAUUCCCAUUUGAUCCU